CCUACGGGAGGCAGCAGUGGGGAAUAUUGCACAAUGGGGGAAACCCUGAUGCAGCCAUGCCGCGUGUGUGAAGAAGCCUUCGGGCUGUAAAGCACUUUCAGCGAGGAGGAAAGGUCAGUAGCUAAUAUCUGCUGACUGUGACGUUACUCGCAGAAGAACACCGGCUAACUCCGUGCCAGCAGCCGCGGUAAU
rnacentral:rRNA from 1 species